rnacentral:rRNA from 1 species
UCGCCUGUUUAUCAAAAACAUCUCUUGAUGUUUUUAUAUCGAGUAGGCUCUGCUCAGUGACUUUAAACAGCCGCAGUACUCUGACUGUGCAAAGGUAGCAUAGUAAUUUGUCCUAUAAUAGAGGGCUUGAAUGAAAGAGUUGACGCUACUUACUCUUUUUUUCCAAAAAAAAUAUAACUUGAUAUUUACAUCAAAAAGUGUAACUCUUUAAAGGGACGAUAAGACCCUAUAAAGCUUAAUUAAAAAUUUUUAGUUUGUAUUUAGGAAAAUAAAUUUAAAUAUUAGUUGAGCUGGGGCGGCACCUAUAGUUCAAUAGGAGAUUUAACAAUUCUUUUUGAUUUUAAAGAUCUUAUUCCAGAAAUUUAGAACAAGCUACUUUAGGGAUAACAGCACAAUCUCUCUAUAUAGACCUUAUAGAAGGAGAGGACUUGUGACCUCGAUGUUGAAUUGAGGAGCUCUAUCUAAGCAAAAAUAGAUAAGAGGGGUCUGUUCGACCUUUAUUCCCUCACGUGAUCUGAGUUCAGA